rnacentral:lncRNA from 1 species
ACCUUAGACACCAAUCGGUUCAUUAGUUUUAAUUUGAUCAACUUAGUAAAUAGGGUUCCACCACGUAGCCAUGAAUUAAGUCCAUCUUGGUCUAGUUAAAGACAUGAACCCAUUCAACUACAACUAUUGGAGUUAAGUCUAGAGUGUCCUUGACCUAAUCUAAUUCAACUUUUGAUUAGAUUUGAUCAAUUACUCUAAUUUAGUCCAUUUCUUUAAGCUAACCUUAGGUCUAACCCAAUUAUGGACCUAAUCCAUCUAACCCAUUGACCCACAAGU